rnacentral:lncRNA from 1 species
AUGCCAGGUCAUAGUGAGCUUGGCCUUGGGAAGAAAGAUUACUCUCCCGAACUCUCACUGUUUUAUGGAGAAGUUACGAUCAUGAAGGCCUUGGGUAAACUGCCACAUGAUCUCCAGUGCCACUUCCCAUUUGUUAUUCGGACAAUAAAACGAUAUAACUCCACGCAUGACCUUGGUCCAUGCUUGCUAGGUGCUCCAAGGGAGUUAACUGGAAUCAGCAGUGGCCUCCCUGAAUUCCGUGGAAAAGACCAGAUGCAUAUGCUUCUGCUAUUACGGUGCUCAGUGUUUGGAAAGGAGCAGUUUUGCAUUGUUAUGCAAACACCAAGGUUUGCAACGUGACCAGAUUUAUUUAUGGCCUCUGGAGAGAUGUACUACUUCUAGUGCUGACAGAGGUCAGGUCUUCCAGGAUCCUGGCAGCUGCUGAGCAAGUGAGGAAACAAAGAGCCCCCCAGUGUGGUGGGUGAGCGUCAGAGCCGGAAAUCCAGGGAGGGCAUGACAUUGAGCCUUCCAACAUCCAAUCUUUCCAACGUCUUCACAGCCGGAUCUCCUUGUCAGAGCUCUGGAAGAAUGGUAUUUUGUUUCCUCCCCUCCAUUGGCAAGCGAGUCCCAGGCAUCCAAAUGCAGCAAGACAGGACACAUCUUGUAAAGAUUUGCUGCUUAAGUGCUGAACAUGUUCAGACAAGAUGGAAGAAAUUGUUCAAAAAGGGAGAUGGGAAGAAAAAAAAUUCUCUGAAGAUGGAGGAGUAUCCAUGUCAGGAUGAAGAAAUUGGCAAGUGGAUAAAUGUAACAAAACAGAAAAAGAGAAGGAAAGAAAAUUCACUAGGGUAG